CUUUGGGCCUGAUUACAAAGGUUUAACCGAAGCCUAUCAAGCAGAUAAGAGACGAGAUGAGAUUGUUAGAGCAUCUCCAUCGGCAAAAGUGGUAGAGAGUAUCUCAAAAAGUAAAUAAAUUAAU
rnacentral:sRNA from 1 species